rnacentral:lncRNA from 1 species
GUUAUAAGUUAUAGAAAGUAAAUAUGUUAAUAUAGGAAGUAAAUAUUGAUAGAUGGAUCAGUUGCUUAAUCUUAGGGAUUGUAGAAUUAUAGGCUUGAUUUUCCUUCCUGUUUAGUUACCGUCUCUCAUGUAUAAAUAGGUUGUAAUUUCUAUUGUGAUAUACAACAAUAAAUAUUAUCUUUCUACAUGGUAUCAGAGCC